rnacentral:tRNA from 1 species
UGGGGGAUCGUCUAGUGGUAGGACGUCAGGUUUUGGACCUGAAUACUGGGGUUCGAAUCCCUGUCCCCCAG